CAAUAGCGUAUAUUAAAGUUGUUGCAGUUAAAAAGCUCGUAGUUGGAUUUCUGGUUGAAGCGACCGGUCGGGCGUUGAUUCGUCUGCACUGGAGUCGGUUUUGGCCAUCCUCUAGGAAAGUGCGUCUGGUAUUAAGUUAUCGGGCGUAUGAUCCUGGUCUUUUACUGUGAAAAAAUUAGAGUGUUUAAAGCAGGCCUUCGCCUUGAAUACAUUAGCAUGGAAUAAUAAGAUAGGACUUUGGUCUAUUUUGUUGGUUUGCAGACCGAAGUAAUGAUUAAUAGGGAUAGUUGGGGGUAUUUAUAUUCCGAUGUCAGAGGUGAAAUUCUUAGAUUUUCGGAAGAUAAACUUAUGCGAAAGCAUUUACCAAGGAUGUUUNCAUUAA
rnacentral:rRNA from 1 species